rnacentral:rRNA from 1 species
CCUACGGGAGGCAGCAGUGGGGGAUAUUGGACAAUGGGGGGAACCCUGAUCCAGCGACGCCGCGUGAGUGAAGAAGUAUUUCGGUAUGUAAAGCUCUGUCAGCAGGGAAGAAAGCAAUGACGGUACCUGACCAAGAAGCCCCGGCUAACUACGUGCCAGCAGCCGCGGUAAUACGUAGGGGGCAAGCGUUAUCCGGAAUUACUGGGUGUAAAGGGAGCGUAGACGGAGGAGCAAGUCUGACGUGAAAAUCCGGGGCCCAACCCCGGAACUGCAUUGGAAACUGUUUAUCUAGAGUGUCGGAGAGG